AAUGAGAGCACCCCAGGACCUAUUAACUAUGGAGUAGAGGCUCUGAAUGGGCGGAGGCAAUUCUGAGGACUUUUAAGCCUCUGAACUAUCAUCGUUGUCAUUGGGAAUUUGAAAGGACAGGAGGAAGCAGACAGCUGGCAUUUCUCCCAUGUUUCUCCUCUCGAAUUUCAUGGGCGGAAUCAAUGAAGAUCUGGGUGUGAGCUCACUGUGUCUGGAGACCUAUUAGCUUCUAGCGGACAUUUGUGAAUGCUGCAGUUGGUGUGCCAACGUGGACGUCAGGUGUCCAGGAUGAACUGGAAGAGGAGCAGGAAGCAGUCAGACACCUGAGCCCAGGGACCCAAGAACAGGAUGGCAUCAUGGCCCUAACGAUGCUGCAGCCUCUCUGGGAGGCACAUCAGUGGACGUGUAGGAGGAACACACUGUUUACUGUUUGCAGUUGCUCGGGGAUUUAUUACUUCUGUGACCUUGGGCUACUCUAACCUCAGCUUUCUCGCUUUUUAACUGGGAUACUAAGGAUCUUAGAGACUCAUGGUAUUAUACGAGCUCACUGAUGCAAAAACACCUUAAUGCUAACAACGUGUGGCCACUUCAACGCAUGCCAUCGGAUCCUCUCUGUGAAAAAAGGGUGUGCGAGCAAGGGAAUCCUGCCACAUAGGAGAUCCCUCGUCUUAGAGACUCACAUGGUGCAUAGCAUAGUAAAAGCCCUGUAAAGACUUAAGAACAACUACUAAAAUAUGUCAUAUAUAGUCAAUAAUCACAUAUAUAUGCACACAUAUUUACCAAGAUGGCGCUUUCCCUCUUUUGACAUGUAACAUUUAUUCCUUCUGCUUUCUGUCAUUGUUGUUUCUGAGAAAGGGUGUUGCUAUGUAACCCUGAUUGGUCUGGUCCUCACUCACCCUGUAGCGUAGGCUAGCCUUGAACUCACAGCACACCUGCCACCUCAGCCUAUAAGAUGCUGACUUGUAAGGUUUAUUUAUCAUACUUUUGGAAAUGUGCUAUUAAUUGCAGUUGAUGAGCAAAGAAGAUGCUAUUAAAUUGUUUAAAACCAUCAUGGUUUAGGCUUCACUUUCCCAGAGGCGUGUAUGAUUUCAGAACACCAGCCAAAGAGCCACAAAGGCUCCUCAGCUUCAGGAACAGCAGAAUGGUCUGAACGCUCCAAGGGACGGCCAACGUCAGGCAAAGGGGGCAGAUUAGUGAGCAGCUGUUCUUGGCCACAGAGACAUUUCUAGAACUAUAGAUUCUUGGAGUCCAACCUGUUAGAUUUCAGCAACUUUAAUGACUAAAUCCCACUUUCCUGGGCCCUAGGCCCCCGGACACAGGCUCAGCCUCCCAGGUUUUUAGGGUAACCCUCAUAUUCAGGAAACUCUCCCUCAAACGCUGGAUAGAAUCCGCCACCUUAAUCAUGUCCACGCCCACGUCCAUGGGACUUGGAAGUCUUGUGUGUCAGUGAGCACUUUCUAUUUUGGGGAUGGAAAGAAAAGAGACCUUUAGACUCAUUUCUAAAUCUUUAUACAGCAUGUAGUAGCAUGCCUGUCAACUGAGCAGUAAAUUGGACAUAUUUUUAGGAAGGCGUAGUUUUCAAUUUUCUUCUAUUUGUAACUAGGGCAAAUGAGCAGACCUUCAGCUAUAGGUAUUCAUGUACUAUAUCCUGGAAGGAUGGAAUGCACUGCUUCUUGUUGUUUAUAGACAGGCCUCAUGUAGCCUUGGCUGGUCCGGACCUCACUGGCAUACGCGGUCGCCCUCUGAGUUAACAGCCCUCCCUCUCUCUCCUGCUAUUAAGGUAUGUACAGCUGUGCUUAAGUCUCAUUUUAAGUUACUUUUGUUUUCUUAUAUCACCAUUUUAAUUUAAAGACAGAUGCAAAAUUCCAUAGUCCAAGCAAACAUCCUUUUAGCUUCUUUCCUUAAGAAAUGAGUAUUUUUUACAAUAUGUAAAAUUACGAGUAUAAUUACAAAUAUGUAAUUAAAGUAUGUCCCAUACCAUGUGUGCAGGUUUCUGAACAAAAGUUAAUAAGAACAAGUGAUAGUAUCUAUAUGGUAAUGGAGUUGCUUAGCCCAGUGUAGGACUCCCCCAAGAUUUCCUAAAGCUUUAAGGCAAACCCUCCAGAAGUAAAUGGAAUUGCAGAAGUUAAAUGGGAAGAGAACAUGUAAGGUUCCAAACCAAUUCAACAGGACACGGGGAAGGGACUGGUCAGACCACCCUACUACAAAACCAAAGAGUGUCUUCAGAGGGUCUAUCUGUCCAAGGGUGGACUCUUUAGACUGACUUCUUCUCCCACCAAUUAAGUCUUGGUUCCACGACAGUAGUUUUGUGAUAUAAGAAAACAAGUUCUGCUAGGAGAUGAAAAAGACCCACAUUCAUGUGUUACAGCAUGAGAGGCUAGACCACAGUCAACUCCAUGGCAAUGCCUAUGCAGCAGCAGCCGGUCACGUGACUGCUUGAUAUGCUUUCCUUUCAGCAAAGACCUUUCCUUCCUCAGAGUUUUAUUACUCUAAAGGAGAGCAACUAAAACUGACCAUUUUCUUAUGUGAUAAAACCAAUGGAAAACAAACACAGGCUUGUUGAGCCAGAGUUAGCUAGCGCUGGUCAGAACCAAUGGCGGUCAGUGAACAUGGCAGCGGGCUUAGCUAGCAUGUGCCUCCUGUCUGGGGGUUUUGCAACACAAAUAGUUAUAUGCUAGAAUUUUCUUACUCUAAAGAGCACCUUUAUCUUUGGUGCAUGUUAGGUAAGUCAGGAGGCUGAAUAAAGCCUGGUCCCUGAAUUCUCUAGCCAGCCCAGUAAGAAACAAGCAAAGUGAAGGUCUCGAUAGAAUGCAGCGUGAUCUUUGUUGAGUCAGUGAGCUCAGCAGGGCUGAAGACAUCACGCCCAUAGUUGGGAUGGUUUCCAAGAGCGCUACCAGCAUUCAGGUGACAAAGGCCACACCCCAAACCCUCCAUUCCCUUAGUUUUAAGAUUCUUGAUCAGAUUUAUAGUGCCUGUGUCCUAGGAAGGAAGGAAGGAAGAAGUGGGGGGGGGGGAGACAGAAUGAGACAGAAACAGGCAGAAAGAGACAUGGAGACAUAGACACAAAGAGAAAGACAGGAAGUGGGAGAGAGUCACAGACAGAAAGAGACAGAGUGAGAUAGACAGAGGCAGAGAGAAGGGGAGAGGCAGACAGCUAAGAAACAGAGGGGUGGGGAGAGUGAAACAGAGACAGAGAGAGAGACAGAGAUAGACAGACAGAGGGAAAAAGCAGAAAGGAAAAGGAUAAAGGAGGAAGGAGAGAUGGAGAGGAAAGUUAAGAUGCCUGCCAUGAAGAACACAGUUCCAAGGCAGUGGAGCUUCCCGGGGUGUCAGGAGGCUUUGCCGAGCCUCAGAGAUCUGUGUUCUCGUGUCAGGUGUAAGGUGCAAGCUCGAGACUGUGGCUAUCUUUUCUUUGCCAAGUCAUGGAUCAUGGGGACUUGGGUCUUCAAUCAAAGGACCCCUGCUGAGCCCGGCCAGUGAAGUGCUGCCCUCUGCCACCAGUGAGGGCAGACAAACACAGGCUCAAUCCUCAAGGUGACUUCCCCACCCUCAUGCCCAGAUGGGACACCUCUGUGAUGCUGCCCCUGCCCUCCAAACCCAAAACCUGACCCUGCAGGUGUUUCUUUCUUCACCCUGGGACUCUGCCAGAGACCUGCAAGGAAAGGGCGAGCUAUUAC